UACGAAGGGGGCUAGCGUUGUUCGGAAUUACUGGGCGUAAAGCGCGCGUAGGCGGUGAUCUUUGUCAGAGGUGAAAGCUUGGGGCUCAACUCCAGAAUUGCCUUUGAAACGGGAUUGCUUGAGUCCGAGAGAGGAUGGCGGAAUUCCUAGUGUAGAGGUGAAAUUCGUAGAUAUUAGGAAGAACACCGGUGGCGAAGGCGGCCAUCUGGCUCGGUACUGACGCUCAGGCGCGAAAGCGUGGGGAGCAAACAGG
rnacentral:rRNA from 1 species